CAAAAGCGUAUAUUAAAGUUGUUGCAGUUAAAAAGCUCGUAGUUGAACCUUGGGCUUGGCUGGCCGGUCCAUCUUUUUUGAUGCGUACUGGACCCAGCCGAGCCUUUCCUUCUGGCUAGCCUUUUGGCGAACCAGGACUUUUACUUUGAAGAAAUUAGAGUGUUCAAAGCAGGCCUUUGCUCGAAUAUAUUAGCAUGGAAUAAUAGAAUAGGACGUUAUGGUUCUAUUUUGUUGGUUUCUAGGACCAUCGUAAUGAUUAAUAGGGACGGUCGGGGGUAUCAGUAUUCAGUUGUCAGAGGUGAAAUUCUUGGAUUUACUGAAGACUAACUACUGCGAAAGCAUUUACCAAGGACGUUUUCAUUAA
rnacentral:rRNA from 1 species